UGGGGAAUUUUGGACAAUGGGGGCAACCCUGAUCCAGCCAUCCCGCGUGUACGAUGAAGGCCUUCGGGUUGUAAAGCACUUUUGGCAGGGAAGAAACAGCCUGGGCUAAUAUCCCGGGCGACUGACGGUACCUGCAGAAUAAGCACCGGCUAACUACGUGCCAGCAGCCGCGGUAAUACGUAGGGUGCAAGCGUUAAUCGGAAUUACUGGGCGUAAAGCGUGCGCAGGCGGUUCGGAAAGAAAGGUGUGAAAUCCCAGGGCUUAACCUUGGAACUGCACUUUUAACUACCGGGCUAGAGUACGUCAGAGGGGGGUAGAAUUCCACGUGUAGCAGUGAAAUGCGUAGAGAUGUGGAGGAAUACCGAUGGCGAAGGCAGCCCCCUGGGAUGAUACUGACGCUCAUGCACGAAAGCGUGGGGAGCAAACA
rnacentral:rRNA from 1 species